UGGGGAAUAUUGCACAAUGGGCGAAAGCCUGAUGCAGCAACGCCGCGUGAGGGAUGACGGCCUUCGGGUUGUAAACCUCUUUUAGCAGGGAAGAAGCGAGAGUGACGGUACCUGCAGAAAAAGCGCCGGCUAACUACGUGCCAGCAGCCGCGGUAAUACGUAGGGCGCAAGCGUUAUCCGGAAUUAUUGGGCGUAAAGAGCUCGUAGGCGGUUUGUCGCGUCUGCUGUGAAAUCCCGAGGCUCAACCUCGGGCCUGCAGUGGGUACGGGCAGACUAGAGUGCGGUAGGGGAGAUUGGAAUUCCUGGUGUAGCGGUGGAAUGCGCAGAUAUCAGGAGGAACACCGAUGGCGAAGGCAGAUCUCUGGGCCGUAACUGACGCUGAGGAGCGAAAGGGUGGGGAGCAAACAGGCUUAGAUACCCUGGUAGUCCACCCCGUAAACGUUGGGAACUAGUUGUGGGGUCCAUUCCACGGAUUCCGUGACGCAGCUAACGCAUUAAGUUCCCCGCCUGGGGAGUACGGCCGCAAGGCUA
rnacentral:rRNA from 1 species